rnacentral:hammerhead_ribozyme from 1 species
ACCCAACUGACAAGUCGCAUAUAAGACGAAACGCAUGUCCUGGAU